UUUUUGUGUGUGCAUUUUCUCUCCUAAAACUCAUAUCCCAUCUAAAUACAAUCAUCUCGUUUUGGGAACCUAAAAAUCAAUGACAAACAUUUUUGCUCUUACAAGGUCUUCUGGAUCAGGUUAGGUUUUUGGUUGAAGUUAAAGCAGGAAGGAAGGAGUAUUAUGAUCAGCUUCUAAGUUCUAAUGGUUGUGGCAGUUGUUGCAUUGUUAAGGAAGUUGAUUUCCUGUAAAUGUAUCCCACUUCUCUUAUUUGAUUUCCUAAAUCAACUCAGCCGCCCUAUUGUCAUGACAAAGUUUUAGAAAGACGGACAUGGGACGAAAUGAUUCUUUUCCUUUUUUUAGUUAUAGAAAUAUGAUAAUUAUUUGAGUUGGAAGUAGGGAUGGCAAAAAAAAAACCGGUACCCGAUGGGGAAACUCGAAAUCCGACAAUUUUGGUGUCGGGUCCAGGCCCGGGUAAAUGGGUUUAGGGCCGGGUAUGAGAAUGGUUUUACACCCGACCCGUAAUAUAAAAACGUUGUAGUAUAAGAGAUACAAUCUGGUCAUUUCUAUGAUAGUAUAUUGAGCAUAUGAGACAUGAUUGACAUGAAUACAAUAAUA